rnacentral:rRNA from 1 species
CAGCCGCCGCGGUAAUUCGGAGGGUGCAAGCGUUGUUCGGAAUUAUUGGGCGUAAAGCGCGUGUAGGCGGGAAGGCAGGUCAGGUGUGAAAUCCCUUGGCUUAACCAAGGAACUGCAUCUGAAACCAUUUUCCUCGAGUACGAUAGGGGAGGGCGGAAUUCCCAGUGUAGAGGUGAAAUUCAUAGAUAUUGGGAGGAACACCAGUGGCGAAGGCGACCCUCUGGAUCGAUACUGACGCUGAGACGCGAAAGCGUGGGUAGCAAACAGGAUUAGAUACCCUGGUAGUCCACGCUGUAAACGAUGUGCACUAGGUGUUGGAGGUACUUAAUCCUCCAGUGCCGCAGCUAACGCAUUAAGUGCACCGCCUGGGGAAUACGGCCGCAAGGUUAAAACUCAAAGGAAUUGACGG